UCAAGUUGUCAAGGGCGAACGGUGAAUGCCUUGGCACCAGGAGCCGAUGAAGGACGUGGGAGGCCGCGAUAGGCCUGGGGGAGCUGUCAACCGAGCUGUGAUCCCAGGGUGUCCGAAUGGGGGAACCCGGCAUCAGUCAUGUGGUGUCACCUGCACCUGAACUCAUAGGGUGUGUGGAGGGAACGCGGGGAAGUGAAACAUCUCAGUACCCGUAGGAAGAGAAAACAAUUGUGAUUCCGUGAGUAGUGGCGAGCGAAAGCGGAUUGAGGCUAAACCGGCGGCGUGUGAUACCUGUCAGGGGUUGCGUGGUCGGGGUUGUGGGAUCCUGCGGCACGGGCUGACACUCGUGUGGGGAGUUAUAAAGCUGGUGGUUAGUUGAACAGUCUGGAAUGGCUGACCGUAGACGGUGAAAGUCCGGUAGGUGAAAGCUGCCAGUCUCCUGUGGGUGUUCCCGAGUAGCGGCGGACUCCUGUAAUCUGCCGUGAAUCUGCCAGGACCAUCUGGUAAGCCUAAAUACUUCCUGGUGACCGAUAGCGGAUAGUACCGUGAGGGAAUGGUGAAAAGUACCCCGGGAGGGGAGUGAAAUAGUACCUGAAACCGUUCGCCUACAAUCCGUCGGAGCCUCUUUUUGGGGUGACGGCGUGCCUUUUGAAGAAUGAGCCUGCGAGUUAGUGGCAUGUGGCGAGGUUAACCCGGGUGGGGGAGCCGUAGCGAAAGCGAGUCUGAAUAGGGCGUUAGAGUCGCGUGUCCUAGACCCGAAGCGGAGUGAUCUAGCCAUGGGCAGGCUGAAGCGUGGGUAAGACUGCGUGGAGGGCCGAACCCACCAACGUUGAAAAGUUGGGGGAUGACUUGUGGUUAGGGGUGAAAGGCCAAUCAAACUCCGUGAUAGCUGGUUCUCCCCGAAAUGCAUUUAGGUGCAGCGUCGUGUGUUUCUUGCCGGAGGUAGAGCACUGGAUGGUCUAGGGGGCCUACAAGCUUACUGAAAUCAGCCAAACUCCGAAUGCCGGUAAGUGAGAGCGCGGCAGUGAGACUGCGGGGGAUAAGCUUCGUAGUCGAGAGGGAAACAGCCCAGAUCACCAGCUAAGGCCCCUAAGCGUGUGCUAAGUGGAAAAGGAUGUGGGGUCGCAUAGACAACCAGGAGGUUGGCUUAGAAGCAGCCAUCCUUGAAAGAGUGCGUAAUAGCUCACUGGUCAAGUGGUUCCGCGCCGACAAUGUAGCGGGGCUCAAGCACACCGCCGAAGCUGUGGCAUUCACGCGUGUACUUCGCAUGGCCUUUGGGUUGUGUGUAGGUGUGUGGAUGGGUAGGGGAGCGUCGUGCCGCGGGUGAAGCAGCCGAGUGAUCGAGUUGUGGACGCGGUGCGAGUGAGAAUGCAGGCAUGAGUAGCGAAAGAAGGGUGAGAAACCCUUCCGCCGGAUGACCAAGGGUUCCAGGGCCAGGUUAAUCCGCCCUGGGUGAGUCGGGGCCUAAGGCGAGGCCGAGAGGCGUAGUCGAUGGAUAACGGGUUGAUAUUCCCGUACCCGCGAAGGAGCGUCCCUGAUGAACCUCGUUGUGCUAACCAUCCGAGCUUGGUGUGGUCUUCGGACUGUGCUGGGGGAGCGUGGGAACCUGGCGGGUAGUAGUCAAGCGAUGGGGUGACGCAGGAAGGUAGCUGAGCCCGGCCGGUGGUUGUGCCGGGGUAAGCGUGUAGGCUGUGUCGUAGGUAAAUCCGCGGCGCGUGUGGCUGAGACGUGAUGCCGAGCCGAUUCAGGUGAAGUCAGUGAUCCUAUGCUGUCGAGAAAAGCCUCUAGCGAGUUCCGAGCGGCCCGUACCCUAAACCGACACAGGUGGUCAGGUAGAGAAUACCAAGGCGAUCGGGUGAACUGUGGUUAAGGAACUCGGCAAAUUGCCCCCGUAACUUUGGGAGAAGGGGGGCCGGAGACGUGAAGGCACGUGCUGCUGGAGCGUUGUAUGGCCGCAGAGAGCAGGGGGAAGCGACUGUUUACUAAAAACACAGGUCCAUGCGAAGAAGUAAUUCGAUGUAUAUGGACUGACGCCUGCCCGGUGCUGGAACGUUAAGGGGACCUGUUAGUCUUUCGGGGCGAAGCGGAGAACUUAAGCGCCAGUAAACGGCGGUGGUAACUAUAACCAUCCUAAGGUAGCGAAAUUCCUUGUCGGGUAAGUUCCGACCUGCACGAAUGGCG
rnacentral:rRNA from 1 species